CAGUAGGGGUUCUGAGAGGAAGGUCCCCCACAUUGGAACUGAGACACGGUCCAAACUCCUACGGGAGGCAGCAGUGAGGAAUAUUGGUCAAUGGACGAGAGUCUGAACCAGCCAAGUAGCGUGCAGGAUGACGGCCCUAUGGGUUGUAAACUGCUUUUAUAAGGGAAUAAAGUGAGCCUCGUGAGGCUUUUUGCAUGUACCUUAUGAAUAAGGACCGGCUAAUUCCGUGCCAGCAGCCGCGGUAAUACGGAAGGUCCGGGCGUUAUCCGGAUUUAUUGGGUUUAAAGGGAGCGUAGGCCGGAGAUUAAGCGUGUUGUGAAAUGUAGACGCUCAACGUCUGCACUGCAGCGCGAACUGGUUUCCUUGAGUACGCACAAAGUGGGCGGAAUUCGUGGUGUAGCGGUGAAAUGCUUAGAUAUCACGAAGAACUCCGAUUGCGAAGGCAGCUCACUGGAGCGCAACUGACGCUGAAGCUCGAAAGUGCGGGUAUCGAACAGGAUUAGAUACCCUGGUAGUCCGCACGGUAAACGAUGGAUGCCCGCUGUUGGUCUGAAUAGGUCAGCGGCCAAGCGAAAGCAUUAAGCAUCCCACCUGGGGAGUACGCCGGCAACGGUGAAACUCAAAGGAAUUGACGGGGGCCCGCACAAGCGGAGGAACAUGUGGUUUAAUUCGAUGAUACGCGAGGAACCUUACCCGGGCUUGAAUUGCAGAGGAAGGAUUUGGAGACAAUGACGCCCUUCGGGGCCUCUGUGAAGGUGCUGCAUGGUUGUCGUCAGCUCGUGCCGUGAGGUGUCGGCUUAAGUGCCAUAACGAGCGCAACCCCUCUCCUUAGUUGCCAUCAGGUUAAGGGGCACUCUGGGGACACUGCCACCGUAAGGUGUGAGGAAGGUGGGGAUGACGUCAAAUCAGCACGGCCCUUACGUCCGGGGCUACACACGUGUUACAAUGGCAGGUACAGAGAGACGGUUGUACGUAAGUACGAUCAAAUCCUUAAAGCCUGUCUCAGUUCGGACUGGGGUCUGCAACCCGACCCCACGAAGCUGGAUUCGCUAGUAAUCGCGCAUCAGCCAUGGCGCGGUGAAUACGUUCCCGGGCCUUGUACACACCGCCCGUCAAGCCAUGAAAGCCGGGGGCGCCUAAAGUCCGUGACCGUAAGGAGCGGCCUAGAGCGAAACUGGUAAUUGGGGCUAAGUCGUAACAAGGUA
rnacentral:rRNA from 1 species